ensembl:lncRNA
ACUUUCUAAUGUGCCUAAAGCAGUUAACCCAGGAUUGGAAUGAAGGUUUAACCCAAACAGAGGAGAAUGCAUAUUCAGACAGAUGGACUUUAUGUAUAUUUGUGUAGAUCCCGUUAAGGGGUGGAGGGUGUGCUGCUGGCACCCAUGUGCCUCACCUCCUUGGUGCUGUGGACAGUGGUACUGUGGUCAAGAAGACUCUUCUUAAGCACUGAGGGCAACUCUGCUUCUUGGUGCUUGGAAUGGUGACUUGGUGGCCUGGAAGGCUCCUCCUCAGUGCUGGUGAACAUUUUAUUUCAAGUUCCACAGCAAGAUGGCUUAAUUGCAAAUGGAAGAUCUCAAGACUGGGAGAUUCCUGGAAAUACAGGAAGAAAUUGUGGAGCUUCUUGUGACUUAGCCCCAAAUGUGACUGACUGCCCCUCCUGCUGCAUUCUAUUGGUCCUGUAGCCCACACAUAGGUUCUUAGACUUUGUCUUUUGAUAUGGGACUAAUAAGAUGUCAUUAAGAAGAGGAUAUGGGAGAUGUAAUUUUAGGCCAUCCUAGGAAAAUACAAUCUUCUACAAUUCUAUAAUAAGAAUGCUCAUUGUUUUAUAAUAUGCUUUCUUUCAUUCCUUUAAAUAAUAGAUUCCAAGAUUUAGAGUUGUUUACUAUGCUCAUAGAUAUUUCACCAGAUACUGCAAUUUCAGCAUUCUCUCUCUCCUCUCUCUCUCACACACACAUGCACACACACACACACACACACACAGACAUACACAGAUACAUACUCACACACAUACUCCCUCCUAUACCU